AGGGAUAUAACUCAGUGGUAGAGUGCCACCUUGACGUGGUGGAAGUCAUUGGUUCGAGUCUGAUUAUCCCCA
rnacentral:tRNA from 1 species